UUUGGAACUUAGGAUGCAGUC
rnacentral:misc_RNA from 1 species